CUGCUGCCUUCCGUAGGAGUUUGGUCCGUGUCUCAGUACCAAUGUGGGGGGUUAACCUCUCAGUCCCCCUAUGUAUCGUCGCCUUGGUAAGCCGUUACCUUACCAACCAGCUAAUACAACGCAUGCCCAUCUGUAACCGCCGAAACUUUCAACCACAAGAGAUGCCUCUCAUAGUGUUAUGCGGUAUUAGUACCGAUUUCUCAGUGUUAUCCCCCUGUUACAGGUAGGUUGCAUACGCGUUACGCACCCGUGCGCCGGUCGCCACCAG
rnacentral:rRNA from 1 species